rnacentral:rRNA from 1 species
GAUGAACGCUAGCGGGAGGCUUAAUACAUGCAAGUCGAGGGGUAACAUGGAAGCUUGCUUCUGAUGACGACCGGCGCACGGGUGAGUAACGCGUACAUAACCUACCUUAUACUGGGGGACACACACCGGAAACGGAGUAAAUACCCCAUAGUCUGGCGACAGUAAAGCUUUCGGGCGGUAUAAGAUGGAUGUGCGUACUAUUAGAUAGUUGGUGAGGUAACGGCUCACCAAGUCAACGAUAGUUAGGGGGCGUGAGAGCGUGACCCCCCACACGGGUACUGAGACACGGACCCGACUCCUACGGGAGGCAGCAGUAAGGAAUAUUGGACAAUGGGCGAAAGCCUGAUCCAGCCAUCCCGCGUGCAGGAUGACUGCCCUAUGGGUUGUAAACUGCUUUUAUAUACCAAGAAACGUCCUUAUUUAUGAGGGCCUGACGGUAGUAUAUGAAUAAGCACCGGCUAACUCCG